UACGUAGGGUGCAAGCGUUGUCCGGAAUUAUUGGGCGUAAAGAGCUCGUAGGCGGUUUGUCGCGUCGAAUGUGAAAACCCGGGGCUCAACCCCGGGCCUGCAUUCGAUACGGGCAGACUAGAGUUCGGUAGGGGAGUCUGGAAUUCCUGGUGUAGCGGUGAAAUGCGCAGAUAUCAGGAGGAACACCGGUGGCGAAGGCGGGACUCUGGGCCGAUACUGACGCUGAAGCGCGACAGCGUGGGGAGCAAACAGG
rnacentral:rRNA from 1 species